rnacentral:piRNA from 1 species
UCAACAAGGCCGACAUGGUGGAGACGC